rnacentral:rRNA from 1 species
GACUCUCGGCAACGGAUAUCUCGGCUCACGCAUCGAUGAAGAACGUAGCAAAAUGCGAUACUUGGUGUGAAUUGCAGAAUCCCGUGAACCAUCGAGUUUUUGAACGCAAGUUGCGCCCAAAGCCUUUCGGCUGAGGGCACGUCUGCCUGGGCGUCACAU